AACGAACGCUGGCGGCAGGCUUAACACAUGCAAGUCGAGCGCCCCGCAAGGGGAGCGGCAGACGGGUGAGUAACGCGUGGGAAUCUACCCAUCUCUACGGGAUAACGCAUGGAAACGUGUGCUAAUACCGUAUACGUCCUUCGGGAGAAGGAUUUAUCGGAGAUGGAUGAGCCCGCGUUGGAUUAGCUAGUUGGUGGGGUAAAGGCCUACCAAGGCGACGAUCCAUAGCUGGUCUGAAAGGAUGAUCAGCCACACUGGGACUGAGACACGGCCCAGACUCCUACGGGAGGCAGCAGUGGGGAAUAUUGGACAAUGGGCGCAAGCCUGAUCCAGCCAUGCCGCGUGAGUGAUGAAGGCCCUAGGGUUGUAAAGCUCUUUCACCGGUGAAGAUAAUGACGGUAACCGGAGAAGAAGCCCCGGCUAACUUCGUGCCAGCCGCCGCCGUAACAC
rnacentral:rRNA from 1 species